AGGGGUAACAAAGAAGGUUUUAAGAAAUUGAUUAACAACAAAAAGAAAGCCAAGGAAAAUGUCCACCCUUUAUUAGGUGCAGGAGGGAAUGCUGCUAUCAAUGAUGAGGAAAAUGCUGAGGUGCUUAAAGUCUUCUUUGCCUCAGUUUUUAAUAAUCAGACAAAUUAUCCUCAGAGUGUUCAGCUCUCCCUAGACGGGGAGGAGCAUCAACAGGUGAAAGCAGUUAAUGGCAUAUUGUGCCCCCCUGGCCACUCACAAGCCAAUUGGCUAAAUGGGUUCCACCUGAGAGUGCUGAGCCAGCUCGCAGAGGAGCUUGCUGAGGAUCUUACUCAGCUGUUGCCCAUCAUCAAUCAGCAGUCCUGGCUAACAGGGGAAGUGCCAGACGACUGGAAGCAAAAGGGCUGAAAGGAGGGUCUGGAGAGUUGCAAGUCUGUCAGCUCGACUAGAGAAGAUUCUGGAGUGUUUCUCCUUGGAUGCACUCACAAGGUGAUGAAGGCAGUGGGAGAGAAGGAACUUGCAUCACAUGGAGCACCCUCAACAUUAAAAAUAGGAGAACCCAAGAGAGGAUUUGUAGCAGAAGGUGACCUCCAGGAACGGCAGGUGUUGCGGGGCAGAAAAAAAGAGAAUUGUUAAGAGAAUAUCAACAGAGGCUUCAGAUAAGUAGUACAAUCACAGGAAGAUGUGGUGGAGCACUUUUCAGAGAUCCUGGGCAACUGUUUGAAAUAAUGACCUAAUCAGUGGUAAUGCCUUGAUAUUUAAGGUAAUUUUAGUAACCCAAGUGCACUUCACUUUGUCCAAAAGUAGCUCACACCAUAAUUUUGCUGUAAAAGAUCCUUAUUGAAAUAUCACAUUUCUUUCUGAUCUAUUAAUGUAUUAUUACCCUUUUUUGAGGCUCUUUUUUCCCCUUUAUGUAAGGACUUGCUUUCAAAUGCCACGAGCAGGGAGCAUUUAGGAAAGUGGUGCUCAUACUGGCAGCAGUAAUCUUUUACUGCUACUAGAUCUAUUGAGUAAAUGUCUUUGUGUGAUUAAGAAGGACAGAUUUUUAUCUUGAAAGGGGAAAGAUGGAAGAGCCAGAGAAAAAUUUAAGCCUUCUAAUCCCUAAGAUGCACUGAUAAAGGCACAAAUUACACCUGACAAAAUACUGGGGAAUAAUAGGCAACAAUUCCUGCUAACAAGGGAACAAUGUGAAAUGCACUAUAUUUGUCAAGGACAUUAAAUAUGUCCAGGACAAGUUGUAGCUAGAGACUUGACCUUUGCCAAUCUGGUCUGAGGAAUGGAUAUGUGUUCAAGAGCUGGAGCAUGGGGACUGUUCCCUGACCAGCAGAUGAGACAGAUUGCCUUGUUUCUACAGAACUGUGCACAUCUUUCUUUUCCUUUGCUGCUCCUUCCAUCUGAUGCUUGUGCCCAUUGCCCCUUGUCCUGUCACUGGGCACCAGUGAGAAGAGUCUGUCCCCAUGCUUUUGUACCCUAUCCUUUAGCUAUGAACGAGGAUUCUGGCUGGGAUUCUGUUAUGUCUUCUGGACACAUUUCCUUUCAAAGGCUUCAUUUCCGUGAGCUAUCAUUU